CCCCUUGUAGCUCAACGGAUAGAGCACCCCCGUCCUAAGGGGGUGAUAGAGGUUCAAUUCCUCUCGAGGGGA
rnacentral:tRNA from 5 species